AAGAGACGUUGCCCUUCGGGGUCGACCUCCCACCCUAUGUUUAUCAUACCUCUGUUGCUUUGGCAGGCCCGUCCUCGGACCGCCGGCUCCGGCCGGCCCGUGCCUGCCAGGGAACCUAAAACUCUGUUUGUUAAUGCAGUCUGAGUACUAUAUAAUAGUUA
rnacentral:misc_RNA from 1 species